rnacentral:RNase_P_RNA from 2 species
UGAAAUAACGUUCAGGUAAUCGCUGCAUCAUUUGAUGUAGAGGAAAGUCCAUGCUCGCACGGUGCUGAGAUGCCCGUAGUGUUCGUGCCUAGUGAAAAAAUAAGCUAGGGCAGCUUGGCUUAUAGCUUAGCUGACGGCGGGAAAAACCACCUAAGUCUUUGGAUAUGGUCGAGUAUCCUGAAAGUGCCACAGUGACGAAGCUUUGCUGGAAACAGCAAAGGUGGAACGCGGUAAACCCCACGAGCGAGAAACCCAAACAAUGGUAGGGGAACUGUCUCAAAGGAAUCUAACGGAGAGACGGACGGUUACAUGCGUAAUCGUAGAUAGAUGAUUACCGCCUGAGUACGAGAUUAAAAUCGUUUGCAGUACAAAGGUACAAAACAUGGCUUUACGAACGUUGUUGAAACA